GUUGAAGCAUCGGUUCUCGUACGAUCACCGAAGUUAAACAACUUCGAACCUGGUCAGUACUGAAAUGGGUAACCGCUUGGGAAUCCUUGUUACUGCAAG